rnacentral:rRNA from 1 species
AAUCUUUCGCAAUGGACGGAAGCCUGACGGAGCAACGCCCCGUGAGUGAUGAAGGGUUUCGGAUCGUAAAACUCUGUUGUUUGGGAAGAACAAGUAUCGGAGUAACUGCCGGUACCUUGACGGUACCUAACCAGAAAGCCACGGCUAACCAGCUGCCAGCAGCCGCGGUAAUACGUAGGUGGCAAGCGUGGGCCGGAAUUAUUGGGCGUAAAGCGCGCGCAGGCGGUCUUUUAAGUCUGAUGUGAAAGCCCCCGGCUCAACCGGGGAGGGUCAUUGGAAACUGGGAGACUUGAGUGCAGAAGAGAAGAGUGGAAUUCCACGUGUAGCGGUGAAAUGCGUAGAGAUGUGGAGGAACACCAGUGGCGAAGGCGACUCUUUGGUCUGUAACUGACGCUGAGGCGCGAAAGCGUGGGGAGCAAACAGG